UACAGGGGUCCCAAGCGUUGUUCGGAUUUACUGGGCGUAAAGGGUGCGUAGGUGGCGGGGUAAGUCUGGUGUGAAAGCUCCGAGCUCAACUCGGAAAAGCAUUGGAAACUAUCCCGCUAGAGGGUCGGAGGGGAGACUGGAAUUCUCGGUGUAGCAGUGAAAUGCGUAGAUAUCGAGAGGAACACCAGUGGCGAAGGCGAGUCUCUGGACGACUCCUGACACUGAGGCACGAAAGCUAGGGGAGCAAACAGG
rnacentral:rRNA from 1 species